AUGCUAACGCCGAAUAAUACUGCAGCACUCACCACCAAUGCAACUCUUCUGAUGGCAGAGUCUUUCGGGGUCAUGCUGGCUUCCAGCGCAGGCUUCACGCUUCCAUCGUUGACCGUUGCACGCGGGGUGGAACUCUUCGUCUCCAUCUCUGCACCUACGGAGAGGCCGUCCUCCUGGUCGGCCUCCGUGGCGCGCCUCCCCCGCUUCUUCCUGCCCCUCUUCCCGCCGUCGCCGGGGCUCCGACGCGACGCGGCGACCACCGUGAGGAGCCGCCCCGGCGCCGGACGAAGCUGA
rnacentral:rRNA from 1 species